rnacentral:lncRNA from 1 species
CGCAGUGCAUCACGGUCGAGAUUUCCGUCGAUUCUCCCGUUCCGGCCAUGAGAUGGCGUCGCCCGAAAGAUCCUCCACGCGGUGCAGCCGGCGUCCAUGCGUCCGUCCGCGAUCACCGCCCAGCCACGUUCUUCCUCCGAAUCAGCCCGAUCCUCCGCCCUCGCUUCAAAACAACAGGAUCCCAGCCGGCUGCAACCAAUGAGCCGUUCCAAGC